AGCCGUAGCGAAAGCGAGUCCGAACAGGGCGGUUGAGUCGCAUGACCAAGACCCGAAGCUGAGUGAUCUACCCAUGGCCAGGUUGAAGCGCGUGUAAGAGCGCGUGGAGGACCGAACCCACUUCAGUUGAAAAUGGAGGGGAUGAGCUGUGGGUAGGGGUGAAAGGCCAAUCAAACUCGGAAAUAGCUGGUUCUCCGCGAAAGCUAUUUAGGUAGCGCCUCGU
rnacentral:rRNA from 1 species